CUUUCUUGCACUGAGAUCUGCUUAUUGUAAAUAUCUUGUACUUGUUUUUACACCUUUGAAUGUUAAAGUUGACCUUUGACCUUUUCAGUGUUGGAAAGACACUUUCUUGCACUGAGAUCUGCUUAUUGUGUCAUGAUUCGGCUGUGUGGCAGGCAGGAAGUGGACCCAAACGCAAGCUCACAGAGGCAGGAAUGAACUCAAAACACAGCUUUAUUGCUGGAGGGAAACGGUGAAACAAACUGAUAAACUACACUGGGAAAAUAUACACUAGCACACAGGGAAACACACGGCCAUGAAUGAGGGAGAACGUGACACAGGACUGAGGGAGACGCGGACCUAAAUACACAGAGGGUUAACGAGGGGAGUGGGAGCACACAGGGAACACAGGUGACACUGAUAAUCAUAACGAGACAGGGCAGGAGUGAACACAACAUGACGCAUACUGACGAGGGACUGUCAAAGUAAAACAGGAAGCGCACAGAGGUUCAGACAGGUGGAGAGAGAGAGGACAGACAUAACGGGCUGGGGACAACAUUGAAUGAAACACGAGGGGAAACGAGGGCUCACAGAUACACAGAGGGGCACACAGGGGGUAAUCAAAUAAGGAACAUCUUGGCAGAAACUAGGAACCACGGCAUAAUGAAAGAACAAAGUACAAAACACAUAAAAACUAAGAAUACUGGGCCAACGUGGCCCGGGACCAUGACAUCUUGUCAAUAUCUUGUACUUGUUUUUACACCUUUUAAUGUUAAAGUUGACCUUUGUCCUUUUCAGUGUUGGAAAGACACUUUCUUGCACUGAGGUCUGCUUAUUGUAAAUAUCUUGUACUUGUUUUUACACCUUUUAAUGUUAAAGUUGACCUUUGACCUUUUCAGUGUUGGAAAUACGCUUUCUUGCACUGAGAUCUGCUUAUUGUAAAUAUCUUGUACUUGUUUUUACACCUUUGAAUGUUAAAGUUGAC
ensembl:lncRNA